AUUUGAAAAUAAAUAAAUUUUUUUGAAUACAAUAGCAAAAAUUAUAAAUUUUCAAAUGUUCUCUUCUGUGGGCUUUAUCGAGGAUGAAACAAUAGAUAUUGAAAGAAGGGUAUUAAGGAAAAGUUACAAUCCUUUAGAUAUCCCAAACAGCGAAUUUGUAAAACCCUUUCGAUUAAAUAAAGAAACAUUUACAAAUUUCUUAGAUAUUAUUUCUCGGCAUUUGCGAAAAAGACAAAGAUCAACGUUUAUACCACCAAUAUUUAAAUUAAGUGUUUUUUAAACUGUUUCGGAACAGGAAGCUAUCAAAAAGGGGUCGGAAGUAGCUGGUUGAAUGCACUGUCCCAGCUUGUUAUUUUAAGGAUUAUAUGCGAAUUAUUAACGGUUUUUGAAAAUAAAGUGUGUGAGAAAUAUAUUAUUCUUGAACGUAUGAAAAAUGAAAGAUCUACAAAAUAACUUUUUUAAUAAAAGUAUAAUUUGCCGGGAGUCGUAGGAUGUAUAGAUGACACUCAAGUCACCAUCACCUGAUCAAAAGCACCACAGAAAGGGUUACUACAGCCUUAACGUAAUAUCUGCAAUCAUACAUUGAAAAUAAAAUUUGUUGAUGCCCGAUACCCUGAUGCGAACCAUGAUUCCUUUAUCUGGAAAAACAGCGAUGCACGUACUUUUUUGAAACGAAAUUUCAAUUAGGAAAGACAAACAUGUGGCUAGUCUUGUCUAUUUUAAUUUUUCACAACUAAUGUUUGUGAUUUUUCAGGUGAUUCGGGAUAUCCACUUGAAUCAUAUCUUAUGACUCCAUUCCGAACUCAAUCUCACCAACAUGAUGUUGUCUUUAACCAAACUCAUGCUAAAGUUCGGAAUUGUAUAGAAAGAUGUAAUUGGGUUUGAAAAACAGAUUUCGAUCAAUUCUGUCAGAGAGAGGUUUGCACUAUAGUCCAUAGAAAGCAAUACAAAUUGUUAAUGUAUGCUGUGCCUUACACAACAUUUGCAUACGUUUUGGACACAUAAUGGAUAAUAUAGAAUUGACAAACCAAGAAAAUGAUGCAAUGAUCCGAUUCAAUUAAUUUAAAUACAAGAACAAUUGCAAUUAACUGUAGAAAUACAUUAGCUCAUUCUAUUAUGAAUAAUU